UAGGGANUCUUCGGCAAUGGACGGAAGUCUGACCGAGCAACGCCGCGUGAGUGAAGAAGGUUUUCGGAUCGUAAAGCUCUGUUGUAAGAGAAGAACGAGUGUGAGGGUGGAAAGUUCACACUGUGACGGUAUCUUACCAGAAAGGGACGGCUAACUACGUGCCAGCAGCCGCGGUAAUACGUAGGUCCCGAGCGUUGUCCGGAUUUAUUGGGCGUAAAGCGAGCGCAGGCGGUUAGAUAAGUCUGAAGUUAAAGGCUGUGGCUUAACCAUAGUACGCUUUGGAAACUGUUUAACUUGAGUGCAAGAGGGGAGAGUGGAAUUCCAUGUGUAGCGGUGAAAUGCGUAGAUAUAUGGAGGAACACCGGUGGCGAAAGCGGCUCUCUGGCUUGUAACUGACGCUGAGGCUCGAAAGCGUGGGGAGCAAACAGGAUUAGAUACCCUGGUAGUCCACGCCGUAAACGAUGAGUGCUAGGUGUUAGACCCUUUCCGGGGUUUAGUGCCGCAGCUAACGCAUUAAGCACUCCGCCUGGGGAGUACGACCGCAAGGUUG
rnacentral:rRNA from 1 species